CUCAAUACAUAUAAUGUAGAGUGAUCCGAUCAGGGUAAUCAGCAUAUCCAUCAUAUCAAACAUUUUUAAUUUAUUUUGGUUGGGAACAUUCAAUAUCUUUCUUCUAGCUAUUUGAAACUAUAUGACUCAGCGGUGGUCACUGUGCAGAUCGGUUUCUUCUCCCUCUCGCAACUCGCACCUCACUCCGCUUUUCUGCAACCAUGUCUGACAAGCCCGAUAUGGCUGAGAUUGAGAAAUUCGGUAAGUCAAAAUUGAAGAAGACAGAAACGCAAGAGAAAAAUCCACUGCCUUCCAAAGAAACGAUUGAACAGGAGAAGCAAGCGGGUGAGUCAUGAGGCGAGCGCCACCAAUAUGCACUGUAUAUUCCACAAGCAUUGCCUUCUUAUUUUACUUCUUUUAGCUGUUUAACUUUGUAAGAUGCAAAGAGGUUGGAUCAAGUUUAAAUGACUGUGCUGCCCCUUUCUCAUCAAGAGAACUACUGACAA